AUGCCCCACGCGCCUGACCUGUCUCUUCCCAGUUGGAAAUUAAUAAUGAUUUUAUCAUACCUGAAUGAAUAUGAGAUCAGAGGUUACUACAAGCAUUUCACAUACCUUAUUUCAUUCAUAGCCUUGCACAGAUGUUCACAGGAUCACUUAAAAUCUGGAGUCCUAACAUUCAUGCUUCUGUGGACUUAUCAAUGCUUGCUUAUCAAUGACAUAACAGCUAACAUUCACAUCCAGCAAAUACAUACCAUAUUUGUCUUUCUAGCUCUGAGUUACCUCACUUAGGAUGAUUUUUUUUUCUAAUUCCAUCCAUUUACCUGCAAAAUUUCAAGAUUUCAUUUAAACAGCUGAGCAAUAUUCCAUAGUAUGAAGAAUGCACCAUGUUUUCUUUGCCAUUCACCCACUGAUGGCCAUUGUUUCCAAUUUCUAGCUAUCAUGAGUAGCCAGAGCAGCAGGGAACAUGGUUGAGGAAGUGUUCCUGUACCAGCAUCAGUCAUCAUUUGGGUAUAUGCCCAAGAGUGAUAUAGCUGGAUCUUGAGGUAGAGGAAUUCCAUCUUUCUGAGGAACUACCACAAUAAUUCUCACAGUGGCUGUACAAGUCUACAUUUCCACCAGCAAUAGAUGUAUGUUUCCCUUACUUCAAGCCUAAUAGGCAUAACAAAACUGACACACACAGAAACUCACUAAGACUUUGACAGUAUGCACAAGGGUUCCAGAGCUGAAAAGAAAAGUGGACACCCCCCAUCUAUCUCUAAUUGAUAUUCACUUGCAAAUGAAAAAUUAGUUUUCUCCAAAGGAGUCUUACUGGAUAAACAAACCACUAUUUUUGUCUGCUUGUUUUUGUUUGUUUCUUUUUUGUUGGUGCUUCUUUUGUUUUUAAUUUUUAAAAUUUAUUCUCUCAUAUGUUGCAUCCCAACUGCAUUUCCCACUCCCUCCCCUCCCCCUAGCCCUACCCUCUCACCUCCCCUUUCCUGAUCCUCCUGCCCUUUACCUCCCCUCAGAAAAGAGCAGGCCUUCCAGGACAUCAACCAAAUGUGGCAUACAAGCUACAAUAAGACCAGUCACAUAUUCUCACAUCUAGGAUGGACAGGGCUACACAGUAGUAGGAAAAGGAUUCCAACAGCAGGCAAAAGACACAGAGACAGUCUGUCUUUCCACUGUUAGAAAUCCCACAGGAACACCAAGCUACACAACCAUAACAUGCGGAGGGCCUAGGUCAGACACA
rnacentral:lncRNA from 1 species